rnacentral:lncRNA from 1 species
AAUAAACUUCUUAACAUAUUAUUCUUCGAAUAAUUCUACUAUAAAGUAACUAAUAUGAAUUUAUUUUAUCAUAUCAUGAUUGUUGGGAAUUAUGAAUUUAGCUAUUCAUAAUCAUAAAUAAAUAUACCUGUUCGGGUAGUUUCGAUAUUUCUGAAGUUUGUUCCUCCAUAGCUUUUUCCAUUGAAAUAUGUCUGUUUUUUAAUUAACUGAGCAAAAUAUUUGAAUUGGAGAGAGUAUUGCUUCAACA